GCGCGCGCAGGCGGUUUCUUAAGUCUGAUGUGAAAGCCCACGGCUCAACCGUGGAGGGUCAUUGGAAACUGGGGAACUUGAGUGCAGAAGAGAAAAGCGGAAUUCCACGUGUAGCGGUGAAAUGCGUAGAGAUGUGGAGGAACACCAGUGGCGAAGGCGGCUUUCUGGUCUGUAUCUGACGCUGAGGCGCGAAAGCGCGGGGAGCACACACGAUUAGAUACCCUGGUAUUCCGCGCCGUAUACGAUGUGUGCUCUGUGUUAGAGGCUUUUCCCCC
rnacentral:rRNA from 1 species